rnacentral:lncRNA from 1 species
GCCAUCCGCUCCAUCCAGCUCCUCGCAGGGCCUUUGGCUGGCUGCCUAGGGUCUUCCAGGGACUCCGGCCGCGCCUCCUUGGCCCAGAGCCCGGCGGGAAGGGAGCGGGGCUGCGGAUCCAGUAGCCCUCUUGGACUGCCCCAGUGCCUGGAGGAAAUUCUGCUCCCUGCCCCGCGUGGUAUCUUCCUCCCAGGAACUUCAACAGGUAAGCCUCCCUUUCAACUAGAGUGGCCCUAUGACAGAGCUUGGGUCAAUGAGAUGCAAAAUAGAAGUCUGGAAAUUUCUGGAAAAAGUCUUUGUUCUCCUGACCCAGGUAUCAAACUUUCCUCUUUAUUUUCCUCUUUCAUUCAUCCUACAUAGAACUAAAACCUUAUAGCAGGAGCGGAAACAGUCCAUCUGAGACCUAUGAGAGAAAAGCUGAGAAAAUACAGAGACUUUGGUCCUGACAUUCUUAAACUGCCAG